rnacentral:ncRNA from 1 species
ACCGGGGAGCGUAUCGCUGAGAUUGGAGCAAUCCUAAACCCGUUAAACCUGAUACGGAUAAUGCCGUCGUAGGGAGUUGCUAAA